rnacentral:rRNA from 1 species
CGGCGUGCCUAAUACAUGCAAGUAGAACGCUGAAGAGAGGAGCUUGCUCUUCUUGGAUGAGUUGCGAACGGGUGAGUAACGCGUAGGUAACCUGCCUUGUAGCGGGGGAUAACUAUUGGAAACGAUAGCUAAUACCGCAUAACAAUGGAUGACACAUGUCAUUUAUUUGAAAGGGGCAAUUGCUCCACUACAAGAUGGACCUGCGUUGUAUUAGCUAGUAGGUGAGGUAACGGCUCACCUAGGCGACGAUACAUAGCCGACCUGAGAGGGUGAUCGGCCACACUGGGACUGAGACACGGCCCAGACUCCUACGGGAGGCAGCAGUAGGGAAUCUUCGGCAAUGGGGGCAACCCUGACCGAGCAACGCCGCGUGAGUGAAGAAGGUUUUCGGAUCGUAAAGCUCUGUUGUAAGUCAAGAACGAGUGUGAGAGUGGAAAGUUCACACUGUGACGGUAGCUUACCAGAAAGGGACGGCUAACUACGUGCCAGCAGCCGCGGUAAUACGUAGGUCCCGAGCGUUGUCCGGAUUUAUUGGGCGUAAAGCGAGCGCAGGCGGUUUGAUAAGUCUGAAGUUAAAGGCUGUGGCUCAACCAUAGUUCGCUUUGGAAACUGUCAAACUUGAGUGCAGAAGGGGAGAGUGGAAUUCCAUGUGUAGCGGUGAAAUGCGUAGAUAUAUGGAGGAACACCGGUGGCGAAAGCGGCUCUCUGGUCUGUAACUGACGCUGAGGCUCGAAAGCGUGGGGAGCGAACAGGGUUAGAUACCCUGGUAGUCCACGCCGUAAACGAUGAGUGCUAGGUGUUGGAUCCUUUCCGGGAUUCAGUGCCGCAGCUAACGCAUUAAGCACUCCGCCUGGGGAGUACGACCGCAAGGUUGAAACUCAAAGGAAUUGACGGGGGCCCGCACAAGCGGUGGAGCAUGUGGUUUAAUUCGAAGCAACGCGAAGAACCUUACCGGGUCUUGACAUCCCGAUGCUAUUUCUAGAGAUAGAAAGUUACUUCGGUACAUCGGUGACAGGUGGUGCAUGGUUGUCGUCAGCUCGUGUCGUGAGAUGUUGGGUUAAGUCCCGCAACGAGCGCAACCCCUAUUGUUAGUUGCCAUCAUUCAGUUGGGCACUCUAGCGAGACUGCCGGUAAUAAACCGGAGGAAGGUGGGGAUGACGUCAAAUCAUCAUGCCCCUUAUGACCUGGGCUACACACGUGCUACAAUGGUUGGUACAACGAGUUGCGAGUCGGUGACGGCAAGCUAAUCUCUUAAAGCCAAUCUCAGUUCGGAUUGUAGGCUGCAACUCGCCUACAUGAAGUCGGAAUCGCUAGUAAUCGCGGAUCAGCACGCCGCGGUGAAUACGUUCCCGGGCCUUGUACACACCGCCCGUCACACCACGAGAGUUUGUAACACCCGAAGUCGGUGAGGUAACCUUUUGGAGCCAGCCGCCUAAGGUGGGAUAGAUGAUUGGGGUG